rnacentral:tRNA from 1 species
GCUCUGUUAGCUCAGCUGGUUAGAGCGUGGUGCUAAUAACGCCAAGGUCAAGGUUCGAUCCCUGUACAGAGCA